rnacentral:rRNA from 2 species
CCGAAGCGGGGGAUAACAUUUGGAAACAAGUGCUAAUACCGCAUAAUUAGUUGGAACCGCAUGGUUCCAACUUGAAAGAUGGCUCUGCUAUCACUUUGGGAUGGACCCGCGCCGUAUUAGUUAGUUGGUGAGAUAAAAGCCCACCAAGACGAUGAUACGUAGCCGACCUGAGAGGGUAAUCGGCCACAUUGGGACUGAGACACGGCCCAGACUCCUACGGGAGGCAGCAGUAGGGAAUCUUCCACAAUGGACGAAAGUCUGAUGGAGCAACGCCGCGUGAGUGAUGAAGGUUUUCGGAUCGUAAAACUCUGUUGUUAAAGAAGAACAAGUGUUAGAGUAACUGUUAACACUUUGACGGUAUUUAACCAGAAAGCCACGGCUAACUACGUGCCAGCAGCCGCGGUAAUACGUAGGUGGCAAGCGUUGUCCGGAUUUAUUGGGCGUAAAGCGAGCGCAGGCGGUUUUGUAAGUCUGCUGUGAAAGCCCUCAGCUCAACUGAGGAAGUGCAGUGGAAACUACAAAACUUGAGUACAGAAGAGGAAAGUGGAACUCCCUGUGUAGCGGUGAAAUGCGUAGAUAUAUGGAAGAACACCAGUGGCGAAGGCGGCUUUCUGGUCUGUUACUGACGCUGAGGCUCGAAAGCAUGGGUAGCGAACAGGAUUAGAUACCCUGGUAGUCCAUGCCGUAAACGAUGAAUACUAGGUGUUGGAGGGUUUCCGCCCUUCAGUGCCGCAGCUAACGCAUUAAGUAUUCCGCCUGGGGAGUACGACCGCAAGGUUGAAACUCAAAGGAAUUGACGGGGGCCCGCACAAGUGGUGGAGCAUGUGGUUUAAUUCGAUGCUACGCGAAGAACCUUACCAGCUCUUGACAUCUUCUGCCAACCCAAGAGAUUGGGCGUUCCCUUCGGGGACAGAAUGACAGGUGGUGCAUGGUUGUCGUCAGCUCGUGUCGUGAGAUGUUGGGUUAAGUCCCGCAACGAGCGCAACCCUUAUUAUUAGUUGCCAGCAUUUAGUUGGGCACUCUAGUGAGACUGCCGGUGAUAAACCGGAGGAAGGUGGGGACGACGUCAAAUCAUCAUGCCCCUUAUGAGCUGGGCUACACACGUGCUACAAUGGAUGGUACAACGAGUCGCGAAACCGCGAGGUCAAGCUAAUCUCUUAAAGCCAUUCUCAGUUCGGAUUGCAGGCUGCAACUCGCCUGCAUGAAGUUGGAAUCACUAGUAAUCGUGGAUCAGCAUGCCACGGUGAAUACGUUCCCGGGCCUUGUACACACCGCCCGUCACACCAUGAGAGUUUGUA